ACUUUAUCGAAUAUACUUACUGCUUCUUUCUUAUCGUAUACCUAUGUGUAACUACUGUAAGGUCGUGAUGUAUGUAUGGUUGUCUGGAUGAGGCUUGUAUGGCCCAGAAUUCACCGUUGACGUGUGCUUAUCAUAUGCAGCAUGUAUUCAUGACUGCAACUUUCAUAUUAUUUUUAUAUGACAGCAGCAGCAGCAGCAGCAACAACAACAACAACAACAACAACAACAACAAUAAUAAUAAUAAUAAUAAUAAUAAUAAUAAUAAUAACGAUGAUAAAGAUAAUUAGUGUUUUCGCCGGGUACCAUAAACAAAUGGAGAGAGAAAAAAGUGAUCAUGCAAAAACAAACCAUAAAAAUAUUCGUGUGUUCUUAAUAUUUUCAUCUGCAAGGAAACAUCUUUAAUUUGAUUUGAUAAAUUACGACCUAUAACGAUGGAUUUCCUAUGAAUGAAGAAGUGUUAAUUAAAUCCAUCAUCCACCUGCGCGGUGCAGUGUGGGCUUGCGUUGUGUUGUGGGGAACUGUGACGGGUGAAGAGGGAUUUUUAUUGGUUAUAAUCUUAUUUUUGAGGUGUUAACGAGGUGCUGGCAACCUGUGUUAAUGUAGCAAUGGCCAGCAAUGCCGCAGUUUCGUUGUAUCAUUGGGUGUGGAAGUACGAUAGACAAACGCCUAACUUUAGCCUUCUCUCGCCUGCCGGACAUUGUCAAGACAAGGUUGGGAGGUGGUUGAUUACCCAAAGAUAUCUGUGAGUGCUAGCAACCCAUGUGAGUGCAACAGUAGCCAUGAAUGCCGCAGUUUCUUAAUGUCACUGAAUGUGGAAAGAAGGCAAACAUGUAAGCUUAGACUCUUGUCGCCUGUCAGACAUACCAAGGCAAGGCAGGGAGGUGGUUGAUGACCCAAAGAAGUCUGUAAUUAUCCAGGAUCUACAAAAACCCUGGGAAGUCUGUGGGAUGUGUUUCGUAUAAAGGUGGCGCCCGGGCACUGAAGAACAACCAACGAAAACCAGGGAAGCUGCAAGAUUCCAGAAGGCCUCACGUGGCAAUCCCUGUCUGGCAGAGGGAAUCUACGGCUACAGCUCGAGUAAGGGAUCGUGGGCACUCACUGGUAACUGGACUUGCUACACCUGAAGCUCACCUCUAAACCCGUAGCUACAGGUGCAAAUGGGGCCGUACACUCCAGCCAGACACGUCCCUCCGUUGCGACAAGGAUUAGAG